GUGCUGACUUUGGCAGCACAUAUACUAAAAUUGGGAUGAUACGGAGAAGAUUAGCAUGGCUCCUGUGCAAGAAUGACACGCAAAUUCAUGAAGCAUUCCAUAUUUUU